UUCCUAAUCUGCAGAGAGAAUCCACCUCCUAGGGCUGCUGCUGGGACGAAGUGAGCGCAGCGCCUGGAAGUGCUGACACAAUGCCAGCUCCCGUUAUGAUCGUCAGUUAGCACCAGUGAACAUGCUGCCAGUGUGAAAGGAUUCUGAAACGUCUACACCUCAGACUUCCUGAUUCUUCGGUUCUACUAACAAGAUAAGUCUGCCUGGAGUCAUAGUGAUUACAUGUAUUCUAGAAAUAAAUUUAGACAUCUGUGUUGUCUGCUUAAUACUCCCAUUAUGAUAGAGGUUUUUUUAAGACUUGUUUAUUUAUUGGCUCUGGCGGGUCUGUGCCACACACAGCCUAUCUCUAGCGGGGGUGCACAGGCUUCCCGUUGUGGGGGCUUCUCUUGUCUCGGGCACAGGCUCUAGGCACGUGGCUUCAGCAGUGGUAACGUGGGCUCAGCAGCUGCGGCACACAGGCUGAGCUGCUCCGCCGCAUGUGGGACCUCCUGGGACCAGGCACGGAACCGAUCUCCCCUGCAUUGCAAGGCAGAUUCGUAACCACCGGACCACCCAGAAAGGCCUAUUAUAGAGUUCUUUAAGAAACACCACAACACAAGUUCAACUAGAAGGUUCUGCCUCCACUGAGUCUGAAAGUCGCAGGAUACAUCUGCAACUACAGAUACAUCAGCGUCUCAGAUCACCUUCCUGGGCCCUGCAUGGCAGCAAAGGCACAGGCUUUGGGGAACCUGAACUGGGCCCCGCGACAGAGGGAGCUUAAACUUCGACUCAGAGGAACCCUCUCCAAGGGGAUUCUGUGGCUGGAGGAAGGGAUCAAGGAGAGGGAAAUUUGGAGGCCAAGCAGGAACACACAAGCAGGAAGGGCUUUUCCCUCAUGAAGAGAACUGCAACCCACUCGCAGGGCGCCGAUGAUGAACCAGCCACAUGCUCUGCAAAGCCCACACCCCGAGCCUUCUCUCCCUGGGCUAACGCUAGAGCCUUCGGAAGCAACAGCUGGUGGGUAAGGGAGAAAACGGAGAAGGCAGAGACAGGAAACCAGUUAUGUCCUUUGCCACUUCCACCUGAAUCUGGCUCAAGCUGAGCGAAGAGAGGAGCUUUGAUAACACACAAGACCAGACUGCAUUAUAUUGUUAUGCGUCUAGGCUCAAAUCUUUAAUGCUUGAAAGUAAUCCAAGGACUCGCAAUAGGGAAGAAACUUUUUGUUCUAUUACCAGUUAAUCACUAAAGGGAAGUGUCUACACAACGGCCCAUCUCUGGGAACUCUGCCUCCGAGGUAAUGAGCAUUAAGCAAAAAUACCUUUGUUUAGCUCACAGGAAGCAUCCUGACCAAGCCCACCUGUGAAUGACUGCAGGAAGGGAGAAAUUAACACAUUCCCUCGGGAGACUGACCAGAACCAGGGAAUGUUUGACUCCACCCCCUCCCACUUUAGUAUAAAAGCCUGAAUUCUAACUCAGGCAGGACGGUUCUUUGGGACAUGAGUUCACCAUAUUCUUAGCUUGCUGACUUUUCAAUAAAGCUGCUAUUC